UAAAGCCUGCAAGACUCUCUUACAUCUUCUGAAUGCAACUCAGACACUUUAUUUAAAUUAAGGCCUU
rnacentral:tRNA from 1 species